UACGUAGGUGGCAAGCGUUGUCCGGAAUUAUUGGGCGUAAAGCGCGCGCAGGCGGUCCCUUAAGUCUGAUGUGAAAGCCCACGGCUCAACCGUGGAGGGUCAUUGGAAACUGGGGGACUUGAGUACAGAAGAGGAAAGUGGAAUUCCACGUGUAGCGGUGAAAUUCGUAGAUAUCGGGAGGAACACCGGUGGCGAAGGCGGCGACCUGGGUAGAUACUGACGCUGAGGUGCGAAAGCUAGGGUAGCAAACGGG
rnacentral:rRNA from 1 species